rnacentral:siRNA from 1 species
CGUAACUCAGCCGUAACUGCCGC